GACGAACGCUGGCGGCGUGCCUAACACAUGCAAGUCGAGCGGUUCAUUAUGUGACACUGUGUAUCAUAAGGCUAAAUCUGGUCAAGUCUUCAAAAAAUGAAAAGAGCAAGAAAAUAACAUUUUGAUGGAGCAGCUAGAAGAAAAGUAGACUAGCUGCGGAGUAACUGGAGAAAAGCAGACUAGAGCGAAGCAAGAAGCGAGUAAUGCGAGAUAAAUAUGGUACAGUGUGUUGCAUAAUGGAUAGCGGCGGACGGGUGAGUAACACGUGAGCAAUCUGCCCUUGACAGGGGGAUAACACAAGGAAACUUGUGCUAAUACCGCAUAAAAUUACGAUGUGGCAUCACAUUGUAAUCAAAGGAGAAAUCCGGUAAAGGAUGAGCUCGCGUCCGAUUAGCUAGUUGGUGGGGUAAAGGCCUACCAAGGCGACGAUCGGUAGCCGAACUGAGAGGUUGAUCGGCCACAUUGGGACUGAGACACGGCCCAGACUCCUACGGGAGGCAGCAGUGGGGAAUAUUGCGCAAUGGGGGAAACCCUGACGCAGCAACGCCGCGUGGAGGAUGAAGGUUUUCGGAUUGUAAACUUCUUUGAUGAGGGACGAAACAAA
rnacentral:rRNA from 1 species